GAUGAACGCUGACAGAAUGCUUAACACAUGCAAGUCAACUUGAACUUCGGUUUGGGUGGCGGACGGGUGAGUAACGCGUAAAGAACUUGCCUCACAGAUAGGGACAACAUUUGGAAACGAAUGCUAAUACCUGAUAUUAUGAUUAUAUGGCAUCGUAUAAUUAUGAAAGCUAUAUGCGCUGUGAGAGAGCUUUGCGUCCCAUUAGCUAGUUGGAGAGGUAACGGCUCACCAAGGCGAUGAUGGGUAGCCGACCUGAGAGGGUGAUCGGCCACAAGGGGACUGAGACACGGCCCUUACUCCUACGGGAGGCAGCAGUGGGGAAUAUUGGACAAUGGACCAAGAGUCUGAUCCAGCAAUUCUGUGUGCACGAUGAAGUUUUUCGGAAUGUAAAGUGCUUUCAGUUGGGAAGAAAAAAAUGACGGUACCAACAGAAGAAGUGACGGCUAAAUACGUG
rnacentral:rRNA from 1 species